rnacentral:piRNA from 1 species
UCCCACAUCUGUGGCCUCCAGGCUAAUGGGA